rnacentral:rRNA from 1 species
ACGCUCGACACCUACGGGGGCAGCAGUGGGGAAUAUUGCACAAUGGGGGAAACCCUGAUGCAGCGACGCCGCGUGAAGGAAGAAGUAUUUCGGUAUGUAAACUUCUAUCAGCAGGGAAGAAAAUGACGGUACCUGAGUAAGAAGCACCGGCUAAAUACGUGCCAGCAGCCGCGGUAAUCUGAGGCGGGCUGGCAAGGC